AAUGGAGCAGAGACUGGAGCAGAGACAAGUUGUUCCCACUGAGCUCUCCUCAGAUUACAGAUUGGGAGUGGCAAAUCAAAGGCAUUGCAGCCUCUUUCAUCACUGCCGAUUGCUGAUGCCAACCAUGUGCCAAGUGCUUAAUACGUCACCUUAAAUCUUCUCAUCCACCCUCAGAGCUGCAGCAUCAACCCAGUGCCCUGACUUUCAAGACGACUAUGAAAACACCCCAACUGCUGCUAAAUUACCAGCAACAAGGAUCUGGAAUUUUCCUGACAAGAGCAGUGCCUAUCCUGAGGCAAUCGUAUUUCUCCUUGACUUCUCUCCAGUAUCAGCUUGUUGCUUGACACCCCUGCACAGCCAACUGUGUAAUGUGGGUGAGUCUAGCUGCAUUUUCUUCAGACACAAGCCUGGCUACCCAGUGCUAAGGUGACAUCAGGCCAGGCCACAAUGGCCGGUUUGACACAAAUUAGAACAACCUUGAUAGCUGUCAACUGGAGACUAUCUGAGAACAAAAGGACAUUAUUGCAAACCAGCACUGGAGUUUGCAGCAUCACAGAAAAUGAUGCUCUCUCCUGCCAAGUCCCAUUUUUUGGGAGGAGGAAAUGGAUUAGGUCCUGGAGGUUGUCAUAAAUGCAUCAAGUGACUUUCUCAGCAUCAUCUGAAACAAUUGAAGAUCCUAAAAAAAUGAUAGCAGCUUUUAAGAAGGACUAUAGUGGAACAAGCAAUAUUCUAAGUGACAAGAGACACAGAUUCUAGAAUAAACUUAGCCAAAUAUGUAUGAACUCGAACAAUCUCCUUUGCCUCUCCAGGUUUUAAUUUCCCCAUCUUUACAAUGGAAGCAAUGACAACAGCAGCAUGCAGCUAGUUUGGAGAUUUUGAAGUCAGAUUGGCUAUUUAGCAUUAACCCACCAUGGUGCUGGUUGAUCUUGCUAGAUACAAAUCUGUCAUAAGUGAAAGCAUCUUGACGGUGUCUUGGAAGCUGACUGGAAAAAUACUGCUUUUAGCAGUACCUUUAAAGCAACAGGAGCUUUUCUGCAUUGCAUAGAGACAGAAUGAGCUUUGUGUAAACUGUGCUGUAGCCACGUUAUUCUGAAAGCCCAUUGGGAAGAUGCCAAUAGUAAUUCAGCUCAAAUAAUCUCUAUUAGCCAUAACCCUUUUGGUUGCAAGAGACAAAAACAUGACUGAAAUUAUUUUCGGCUAGAAGGAUCGAGGAGACUUGCAGCAUAGCUUUGAGAACAGCUGAAAUUAAAGACAUGAAUGCUGCAAGUGUCUCUGCCACUCUUUGUGUAUUAACUUUAUGUGCUCAGCCUGGCUUCCUCCACACUGCAAGGGAUAUGGCUGUUGCUUAUAUUUUCAUCUCCAUCUUUGCCACCAGAGAGGGACUGCCUUUUGUCUUGUUCCAAUUUGGGAAUUCCUGGGGAAGGACUACUCUGGCUUGGGUCACAUGUCCACACCCUGAAUCAAACAUCUGAGGUCAUGGAGAAGUACACUGAUUGGAAGAUCCUACUAAUAUUAAAAAGUUUGAGGAA
rnacentral:lncRNA from 1 species